UGGGGAAUAUUGGACAAUGGGCGCAAGCCUGAUCCAGCCAUGCCGCGUGUGUGAAGAAGGCCUUUUGGUUGUAAAGCACUUUAAGCGAGGAGGAGGCUACUUGGAUUAAUACUCUAGGAUAGUGGACGUUACUCGCAGAAUAAGCACCGGCUAACUCUUUGCCAGCAGCCGCGGUAAUACAGAGGGUGCGAGCGUUAAUCGGAUUUACUGGGCGUAAAGCGUGCGUAGGCGGCUUCUUAAGUCGGAUGUGAAAUCCCUGAGCUUAACUUAGGAAUUGCAUUCGAUACUGGGAAGCUAGAGUAUGGGAGAGGAUGGUAGAAUUCCAGGUGUAGCGGUGAAAUGCGUAGAGAUCUGGAGGAAUACCGAUGGCGAAGGCAGCCAUCUGGCCUAAUACUGACGCUGAGGUACGAAAGCAUGGGGAGCAAACAGG
rnacentral:rRNA from 1 species